CCCGUAUCUACUAAAAAUACAAAAUUAGCCGGGCGUGGUGGUGGGUGCCUGUAGUCCCAGCUACUUGGGAGGCUGAGACAGGAGAAUCGCUUGAACCCGGGAGGUGGAGGUUGCAGUGAGCCGAGAUCACACCACUGCAUGCCAGCCUGGGCAACAGAAGCGAAACUCCAUCUCAAAAAACAAACAACAACAACAAAAAAAUGGUUUAAUCACUAGCUAAAUUAAAUAUUGAUUUUAUACUUGAGUCCACAAAAGAGUAUUUUUUCGGAAGAUCAGGCUGUACUUUAGUUUAUAUGAAGCAUGGUGAACAGAGACACCACUAAUGCAUAGAUGAAGAUGACUGCCUAAAGACAGAAAGGAAUCUUCACUGGAGAGAGAACAGCCUAUUUGGCCUCACAGUGAUGCACUCAGGAAGCUCAGAAUGUGUCCUGACACUGUCCAUGGCACACAGUAGUAGCACUGUGCACCUAAAGGACAUCCAGGAUGGGACGCUAGGGAAUCACAGGAGCCAAGAAGCAAUAGCCCAACAUUACAAUAUCUGAUACUAUUAUUUGUUCCAAUUAUGGGGCAUACAGGUAAUAAAGGGUUGAGAGGUUCUGAGUGUUCCAUGGUAAAGCACUACUGAGGGAUUUUUCAAGUAUUUUUCAAAAAUGAGUUUUGUCCAAACUUAUAAAUUUUACUAGAAUCGCUUUUUGGGAGUCAGCAGCAUUAUUACAUGAACUAUUGGUGAUAGAGUACAUAGCUAAUGAAGACUUCCUGAGUUAGUUUUCUUUAAGAUAAAAAACUAACUCGGGCAUAACUCAGGCCAGUCAAAUCAAAGUUGAAUUUUUAAAUGUCUAAAGGCUAGGCCAGGCGCGGUGGCUCACUCCUGUAAUCCCAGCACUUUGGGAGACCGAGGUGGGUGGAUCUCAAGGUCAGGAGUUCGAGACCAGCCUGGACAACAUGGUGAAACCACAUCUCUACUAAAAAUAGAAAAAUUAGCUGGGCAUGGUGGCGGAUGCCUGUAAUCCCAGCUCCUCGGGAGGCUGAGGCAGGAGCAUCGCUUGAAUCCGGGAGGCAGAGGUAGCAGUGAGUCGCGAUUGUGCCAUUGCACUCCAGCCUGGGAAACAGAGCAAGACUUCAUCUCAAAAACAAACAAACAAACAAAGGCUAAGUGGUUAUCUCGAAUAAUGUGGUGGAGACAACUACAAGAUGACCAAAUAGGGCCGGGCGCGGUGGCUCACCCACAAUUUUAUUUAAACCUCCUGCAGAAUUUGGAUAGGAGAAUAAAAGCUUUACCAAUAGGAAAAUACUUUUCAUGAAAUGGUUUCAAGGAUUGUGAACUUGGCAGGUAAAGUAUAACAGGUACUGAAAAUACUUUUAGCCAAGGAAAUCUAUUGAUGCAAAUUAAAUGUAUUUAUAAGCCCAAGGCCUGGGGUAGAAACAUCCUAAGAAUAUCACAAAUGUACAGUUUACUGCCUGAAUUAUUGGAAGCAAAAUAGCUGUAUUAUGUAGAUCUUUCUGAAUAGCAGAAGCUUGUCAAAGAUUUCUGCUUGUCACAGAAAAGCAGCUUUUGGAAUUCAUUAUGUUCUAUAAGAAUGUAUGGUUUUCAGGCCAGGCGUGGUGGCUCAUGUCUAUAAUCCCAGCACUUUGGGAGGCCGAGGCAGGCG
rnacentral:lncRNA from 10 species